AUUGACUGUAAGACACAGUUUCUCUGGACCCAGGACUCGACUCUCUGCAGAGUAGGGGUGUCGGUAACUCAGCAACUAGACAAGGAAUCAUGAGCAGGCACUGGGGAGCUCUGCUGGGGCUCCUGUGGGUCCAGGUUUGCUGGGUGAGAGGGCUGGAUGUGGAGCAGAGCCCUUCAGCCCUGAGCCUCCAGGAGGGAGCCGGCGCUGCUCUGAAAUGCAAUUUUUCCCAAGCUGUGAACAGUGUGCAGUGGUUCCGACAGAACCCCGGGGGUGGCGGCCUCACCCGGCUGAUUUCCGUGGCUUCGGGCCUGAAGCAGAGCGGAAGGCUCAACUGCACACUGAACACGAGGGAACGGUCCAGCACCCUCCACAUCGCGGACUCCCAGCUGGAAGACGCAGCCUCCUACCUGUGCGCCGCGGAGGCACAGUGCUGCCUGCUGAUCCGGGGCCUGCAGGCCACCUGCAGCUGCGCCUGUGCCCCGGCCCCGCCACCAGGAGGCCCUGCACAGCAGCCGCACCAGCAGGCUUGGGCCAUCUGGGACUCUGCUGGGCUCCAAGGCCGGUGGCAGUAACCUUGACAAUGAAUUAUUACUAAAUACAAGUGUGUAUGUUGACGUUGCAUAUAGCAUAUUGGAGGGAUAGGAGUUCUUAAAAUGUUUAGAAGCUCUAAUUUUAAAAAUUACUGCAACGUUGGAAAGCAAAUAUCUAUAGGCUUAGAAAUAGAAAUUUAAGGUAAAGAUAAUAGCUUCAGUGGAAAAGAAUACCAUUUUCGUGUGAAGUUUGAACUUAUUCAGUAAACCGAUUUUAACACAGAGGAUAAUCUGAAAUUAAUUUUUCUCAUAAGUUAAGAUAUAAUAAGAUGCAUAAACAAGCAUUCUGAAUUGUAUACAAAUCAUGAAGCCACUUUUUAGUUUCAUAUACACCCUCCAAAAGUUACAGCAAAUGUUAGAGAAAACAAUAAAAUGCUGUGGUAUAAAUUUAAAUUUAAAAUUAAAUUUAGAUUUACAUGAAACUGAUUGGUAUGAAGAGUUAAAUCAUUUGUAGAACAACUGUUCCACCAGAGACAUCAGCUCUAGAUUUACUUUAUUUAUAUUUCAACUAAUUUAUCAGAUAUUUAUACUAAUUUUGUCAUUGCACAUAAAAUAUUCUUUAAAAUCUGUAAUAUCAGUUGCACCAACAGAACUGUCCUUCUCAAAAUUAAAAAUGUUAAAAAAAUUCCGUUUGCAGAAUCGUAUUUACCAACAGGAACUGACAUUGCUUUCAAUUAUAUAGAUUGAAAUGAAGUUACUGAAAGUAUUAAUUUUGAUGGCCAAAUAAAUUAAUUUGGAGAAAAGCAAGCCAGAAAAAUAUUAUUAAGAUAUUACA